UUGCACGCUGGCGGCAUGCUUUACACAUGCAAGUCGCACGGCAGCGCGGGCCUCGGCCUGGCGGCGAGUGGCGAACGGGUGAGUAAUACAUCGGAACGUGCCCAGUAGUGGGGGAUAGCUCGGCGAAAGCCGGAUUAAUACCGCAUACGACCUGAGGGUGAAAGCGGGGGAUCUUCGGACCUCGCGCUAUUGGAGCGGCCGAUGGCAGAUUAGCUAGUUGGUGGGGUAAAGGCCUACCAAGGCGACGAUCUGUAGCUGGUCUGAGAGGACGACCAGCCACACUGGGACUGAGACACGGCCCAGACUCCUACGGGAGGCAGCAGUGGGGAAUUUUGGACAAUGGGCGAAAGCCUGAUCCAGCAAUGCCGCGUGUGUGAUGAAGGCCUUCGGGUUGUAAAGCACUUUUGGCGGGAACGAAAAGGACUGUGCCAAUACCACGGUUCGAUGACGGUACCCGCAGAAUAAGCACCGGCUAACUACGUG
rnacentral:rRNA from 1 species